AUCGCUUCUCGGCCUUAUGGCUAAGAUCAAGUGUAGUCUCUGUUCUUAUCAGUCUAAUCUCUGAUAUAUUCUCUAUUUGAGAAUAAUGUAUUAUUUGGAUUUUUGGUAUCGGGAAGUGGAAUAGGAGCUUGCUCCGUCUGCUCCAUGCAUCGACCUGGUAUUGCAGUGUUUCCAGGAGCGGUGCGCCUCCU